rnacentral:rRNA from 1 species
GACGAACCGAGCGAACGUUGUUCGGAAUCACUGGGCUUAAAGGGUGCGUAGGCGGGCUGCCAAGUUUGGGGUGAAAUCCUCCGGCUCAACCGGGGAAGUGCCUUGAAUACUGGCGGUCUCGAGGGAGGUAGGGGCGUGCGGAACUAACGGUGGAGCGGUGAAAUGCGUUGAUAUCGUUAGGAACUCCGGUGGCGAAGGCGGCACGCUAGACCUCUUCUGACGCUGAGGCACGAAAGCCAGGGGAGCGAACGGG